GGUAAGAAAAUACCAGGUUUCUCAUUAUAAUCAGACUUCAUCAAGGUAACAGAUUUCAGAUGAAUGGCAGUACAGUUGCAGUGAACACUUCCAAACUAUGAAUUGUGUACAUCUAGUCAGAUUGAUAUCUGCAAAUUGUGCAGAACACAGAACGUUAACCAUAAUAAGGAUGAAUUUGUAACACAUCCUGAAUUAUUCCAGAAACUGGCCUGCAGACAUCUACUGGCUGUAAGUGCAUACAUUUGAAAAGAACUGUUUUAAAGGAUGAAGCACCGGAAGAGUAAGAUUAGAUAACAAAUCUGGCAGUGCCUUAAGAACUCAUUAUGAACUGCAGCUGCUUCUAUCAAGCCAGAUGUUGAUGCAUCAUUUUCAUGAAAAACAAGGUCAAAUAUUGCACUAAUUUUGUAUUUUUCAUUGUCUUCUUUUUAAACAGCAAAUAUUAAAAAAAAAUGGUUAUUUACAUUAACUAUAUUACAUAUUAAAAUGUAUGAAGCCCAUGACAAUUCCUCUUCACUUAGUGCAGCACAGGCAAGCCAAAAGUUUGGACACCUAUGCCUUAAAUGCUCAUGGAUGUUCCUUUGGGUUUGCUUCACGUGCAUUUUUUGUUGCAUGUUUGUCUGUUUUUAGCUGCAAUUGCUAGUUCUGAAACUGAAUUUAACAUUGUAUUGUCCAUUGUGGACUUCACUAGAUUCCCUUCCAAACCUGAAAGUGAAGGACUGUUUGCUGCCUGUGAGACUUGUCAGGAUUGUUUGUAAACAAAGCAAAAUUUUAAGGCUUCAGAUGGGUGGCUAGAAUUUAGAUGAAGGAUUUAGCUGUGACAUUAGGUGCUACAUCUUGUCAGUAUUACAUUAUUCAUCAUUAUCAUAAAAACUAGUUAAGUUUUGGGUCUGAACAAUGCUGUAUACCUGGUAUUUCCCUUUCUUUUUGCACGUUUCUUGAAUGACUAGUAAGGAGGUAUGGCAAAUUCUGCUGUCAGGGCUUUCUAAUAAAAUCAAUAUAAAGUACAUAAACAUCAUCUCUAUUUUACAGAUGCUAUGUACAGUGCUUUUGUGUAUUUUCUUGUUUUUUUGUCUAUUACUAUUACUUUAUUUUAAUUAAUUGAUUAGUUUUCCUUCUGUAGUGUUAGAGAAAGAACCAUACUUUGUUUUUUAUUACUUUUUUAAAUGACUUGUUCUGUGCUAAGGCUGUGAUAAGUGGGUAGUGCAGAUUCUACAGAAUGUAUUUGCUAUUGAAUAAAAAGAUCUACCUUGUGUUGUAGAUAUAACUAGAAUGUAAUUUACAUUAUACAUAAAUCAUCCUGAUAUAGCCCUUCGUAUUUUAAUAAAACCUUUGAUAAAUGGUCUUAAAGAGUUCUUGUUUUCAAAUUAUCAAGAUGUGCAACUAUUAAAAUCAAGAAGUUCUCUUAGUGCUAAAUUGGCUUUCAUUGAAGCAGGGGAAAAAAAAAUCAAUUACAACAAUCAUAUUAUCUUUCAAGUAUGUCCAAUAAAGUCAUCUAAUGGAUAUAAUGUCUGUAUGCAAUUACUACUUGAAUAUACUGGAAUAAACUUAACUGCUAU
rnacentral:lncRNA from 7 species